GAAGCCUAUGCUCGCUUCAGUAGCAUGUAUACAGAGAAGAUUGGCAUGGCCCCUGCGCAAGGACGACACGCAUUGAGUCAAAUGGUAGUGGCGCAUGCAUUU